UCUAUGCAGCUCCUCAGUCAACUGAAACCACUCGUUCAAGACAGCAACAAUCCAGAUAUACUAGCAAGUCAUAAAACUGAACAAAAGCCGACAAACCUUAGAGCACCAUCGCUAUAUGGCCCAGACAAAUUACGACCGUCUAGGGGGGGUUUCUGUGUGCUUGUCACGCGUUACCAUCGGUAACAUUAUUUAUAGACAAAGAAAAUCACUAAUUCCACAUAUUUAAGCAAAACUACAUUAAGUAAAUAUCUACAACCAGAAAGAGCGAGAGAAAUUCAGAGCUUAAAGGAACAAACCGGCCUCGGGGAAGGCUGCAGGAAGCGGGGAGGUUCACGCACGGUAUUUUGUGCAUUAGCGUGGCUACAGUCCGCCCCCCCUCCCCGAAGUAGCUCUUAAGAGGUUAAGGACAUAUUGAGAACGCCUAAAAUCGUUAAUCCAUACAGGUGCGGAUGACUACAGCCUAGGAAAAUGAUACUGGCUCUUUAAACCAUGUGUUUAUAGUUUCAUCAAGAGAAAUUAAAGUUGGCUGUGAGCUCCCGAAUCCUA